rnacentral:rRNA from 1 species
UGGGGAAUAUUGGGCAAUGGGCGCAAGCCUGACCCAGCAACGCCGCGUGAAGGAAGAAGGCUUUCGGGUUGUAAACUUCUUUUCUUGGGGACGAAGCAGGUGACGGUACCCAAGGAAUAAGCCACGGCUAACUACGUGCCAGCAGCCGCGGUAAUACGUAGGUGGCAAGCGUUAUCCGGAUUUAUUGGGUGUAAAGGGCGUGUAGGCGGGAAUGCAAGUCAGAUGUGAAAACUAUGGGCUCAACCCAUAGCCUGCAUUUGAAACUGUAUUUCUUGAGUGCUGGAGAGGCAAUCGGAAUUCCGUGUGUAGCGGUGAAAUGCGUAGAUAUACGGAGGAACACCAGUGGCGAAGGCGGAUUGCUGGACAGUAACUGACGCUGAGGCGCGAAAGCGUGGGGAGCAAACAGGAUUAGAUACCC